GAAUACAGCCAUGCCACCCUGAACAUGCCGAUGUCAUUUGAUCUCGGAAGCUGAACAGGGUCGGGCCUGGUUAGUACUUGGAUGGGAGAUCACCUAGGAAUACCAGGUGCUGCAGGCG
rnacentral:rRNA from 1 species